GUGUUCUUGCCGCAUGCUACAAGGCACUUAACGACCACCAUGUCCUGCUUGAAGGGACUCUCUUGAAGCCUAACAUGGUGACUCCAGGAUCUGAUUCCAAAAAGGUUGCGCCCGAGGUGGUUGCCGAGCACACUGUCCGCGCCUUGCAGCGCACCAUGCCUGCAGCUGUCCCUGCUGUGGCUUUCCUCUCUGGUGGGCAGAGCGAGGAGGACGCUACCCUCAACCUCAACGCCAUGAACAAGUUAAAGGCGAAGAAGCCAUGGACUCUUUCAUUCUCCUUCGGACGUGCCCUUCAGCAGAGCACUCUCAAGGCUUGGUCAGGAAAGGAGGAGAAUGUGAAGAAGGCUCAGGAAGCUUUCCUCACCAGGGCCAAGGCUAACUCGGAAGCGACAUUGGGAGCCUACAAGGGUGACGCCAAGCUUGGCGAGGGUGCCGCCGAGAACCUUCAUGUCAAGGACUACAAGUAUUGAUUGGGGAAGCUGUCGAAUACCAAAUUGUUAUGCGGUUAGAAGGUAGCUUUGUUUUCGCGGUCUCGUAACCUAGGUCGUUCCUUUUUGUUUGCUGAAACUUUGAUCGUGAUCUCAGUCGUGCUGAGAUUAUUACCGGAUACUAGUAGGUUUUGAUAAAAGCUUUGAGGAGAGUUUUAGUUUGUUCAUCGACUUGGUUUUAGUUUGGAGAAAUGUAAACUUCUUUUGUUAUAUAUUUGGGUUCAUUGAGAAUGUGUUUAUUUGAAAGUUCUUUAUUCAUUUUUUUAUUGGGUUAGGUAUUGUUUAGGCCCAAUAAUGUAAUUAUUGGGCCUUCACAACAUUUUUGAAUUAGACAAAUUUAAAAUUAUAAGAUAUUUAUUUAUAAUGAAGAAAAUAGUUUUAUAAAAAUGUUAAAUUUAAUCAAGUGGUUGUAUUGGGGGAUUUUAGUGAUUUUGUUAAAGAUGAUAUUUGAGAGAAUACAUAAAAAAAAUAAUCAGUUUGAUCGAUAAAAUGUAUUUUAUUCGUCUCUUAAUAUGCGUGUCAAAAUGUUUUUUAGAAAAAUGUGUUGGUCAUAUUGCGGGAUUUUAGUGAUUUUGUUAAAGAUGAUAUUUGAGAGAAUACAUAAAAAAAAUAAACAAUUGGAUCGAUAAAAUAUAUUCAUCUUCUAAAAAUAUAUGUCAAAAUGUUUUUUAGAAAAAUGUGUUCUCAAAUUCUAAUGGAUUGAUAAAAUAUAUUCGUCUUCUAAAAAUGCGUGUCAAAAUGUUUUUUAGAAAAAUGUGUUCUCAAAUUCUAACCCUUAUCUUGUAAUGUUCAUUUUAACGAAAAAUCACAUUUUUACACUAAAAAAUCAAACAUGAUACUAUUCAUUUCUUUAUUUUGUCCUUAUCGUUAAAACUCAAAGUUUUCAAACCCUUUCAUUAGUUUUCCUUAUAAAGAAGUGAAGAAUAUUCCAAGACCUAACAGCACAACUCGUUCAUUUUGUCUCCAAUAUCGGAUCGAACUGAAGAAUAUUCCAAGUUUAAAUAAUUAUUCAAAAUUAUACAUUUAUCGUAUAUCGUGCGUUAAAUAAAAACAGUACCUGACAAAAACUGACAGCACGAUGUACAAUAAACGAAUACAAUUCCGAAAAAGAUCGACAAAAAAAAAAAUUAAAAUUACCCCAACAUGGCGAGAACCUCUUGAAAGACCCCACUUGGCCAGUUGGCUCACCAGUUUCAGAAAAGAGAAGAGAUGAGAGAUGGAAAGAGAGGCAGGUGAUGCGGCCGAUGCUUCCACAACUUGGUAUUCAACAUCCUAACUAACUACCACUUCUUUUCCUUCUUUCACAAGAAUUUCAAAAGUCGACAUGAAUUAUAGUUUGACUAUUUAACGUUGGCGUAGUUAUAUUGGUUAAUUAUAGCUGAUGUACUCUACUCUACGUACUUGGUUCGUAUUUUCUUUAUAUAAUUUAGACUAGUUUAAAUAUAAUAUAACUUGUAUUAGAAUUUGUACAAAUGAGUCAUGGCUAUCAAUGUAGAACAUCAAAUUGUAAAGAUAACACUAUACAACAUGCUAGGGUUUAUUUUAUAUCAGAUAAUAUCUUUAAGCACAAUCUUACCAUGCAAAAAAAAAAAAAAAAGUUAGCUUUUUAUUCAAAAUAAUAUCUAAGAUUGACAUAACUUCUUAAUUUGAUUCUUGAGAUUGUCUACAGUCAACAAUUUCAGUCUUUUUGUGAAAAAAUUUCAUUAAAUUAAAGAAACCAUCAGUUCAAGGGAAGAAAUUGUUCUGAUAAAAAUACUCUCAAUUUAACAGAAAUUUAUCACAGAAUGACCAAAAUUAUUAAUGGUGGACAAUCUUAUGGAUCAUUUCUAUCAAUUUUAAACCUCAGAAACUAAAAUGAGAAUUUUAACGAUCUCAAAGAUCAUUUUAGGUAAAAAAAAUUCAAAAAAAAUUGGCAUCGGACAUUGAACUCCAAAAGCAUAAAACGCUUGAAGUAAACCACGAAUGAAAAAUGUCAUCAUGCCAUAUUCUUUUGCAUGCUUUUAUUUUUUAAGAAUUUUCCAGUUUUAAAUAUUAAGGAGAAUUGUUGCGCAUGAUCCAAGUGAUGCUAGUGACGAGAUGCGAUUGAUUUUGGUUCAUAUAUCAAUGUGUUGAAAGUUUUUUUUGUUUUUUUGUUUUCAAAAAUGGACUAUGGAAGACUCAUAGAGACAAUUUAAUCUCUAAUGAUCAUCAUUGUCUGAUUUACUAGUAUCAUAAAUCAAACAACUGUGUUGAAAGUUUGUUGGAUGAGGCAUAAUAACAACUCUUAUUGUUUUGAGACUUAUUUUUUAGCUAUACCCUUUGGAACUUCAUUUUGAUUUCACAUUAUUCCCUGUAAUUGGAAAGUCACCACUUUAUUCCUUGGAACUCAAAAUUCGUUCCAUUUUGACUUGUGGACUCUCUUCUCACUGAAACUUAUAGGUCACCUUUUGAAACAUAUGUGGGACUCAACACUCAAAAAGACUAUGCUACAUGUGCAAUAAAAAUUAUAAAUCUCCAUUAUGCGCUAUAUUCAACAAUAAGAGUAUUAAGUUUAAAAGAAAUUGAAGAGGUGAAAAAAUAUUAAAAAAACUUGAUUAGCUUGGUGCCCAAAUCCAACUCACUUAAGAAAUUAAUAGAUCUAAGGUAAUGUGGAGUGAAUUUUGAGUUUUAUAGAGACAACUUCCAAGUGUCAGAAAACAAAAUGAGAUCACAAUCGAGUUUCAGAGAAUAAAGUAUCAACUCUUGAGUUUCGUAGAAUAAAAUGACAUUAAAAUCAAGUUCCGAAAAUCAUAAUUAAAAUCGAGUUCAAAAGAAUGCAGCAAUCAGAAAUGCGGUGGGUGAGAUGACAAGGAACCAACAAGAAGCAUGUACUAUUUGACUCUGCAAAGCAUACAUAAUAAUGCAGGUUAUGCAUUGCAAUAAUUUUACACAGAAAAAUAAAAAAACAAAUUCAAUGACAUUUGACAGCCUUAGAAUACAUUAUGAAUUACGUAAAACACGCGUUAUAAUGUGAGAACAUUUUAUAAUUAUAUCACGUUACGGUAUAUUUUAACAUUACUGUAGUGUGUGAUUUAGUUUUUAAGUUUGAACCCCUAAAUUCUAUUUGUAUAGUUUUUAGGUUCAAUCGAUCGUAUAAAGGAGACAUUGAAGGGGCAUUCCAAAGCGUUUGAUAGCUGCCUAUAAUUACAAAACAAAGAAAAUUCCUAGGAAAUGCCAUUCAUGUUGUAAGUUUAUGUAUCCUAGACGUCAAAACUACCAACACUAGAGAAGCUACCUACACACAUACCCUUCAAUCAAACUAGUAAAAUAUUACACUUUCCUCACACUUUAAGUGAGUAUUUUUUACGGAUCCGGAUUCUUUCCUCUCUCAUUUUCCUUCUCUUCCAGUCUCAUUUUAUUUGAACGUUCACGAUUAAGCAGCAUCAACAUUUUGUGUUGACUUCUUUAAAAAGAGAGACAAAGAGGAAAGUGAGAGAGAAUGGGAGGUGAGGGUAUUUGGAGGAAAGAGAAUCCUACUUCAUUUUUUUAGUGCUUCUUCCUUGUAAACUACAACAAUCAAUUUAUACAAAAACAAAUUAAAUUUGAUUUGGAAAAAAAAAAAGACAUGGAUCUCAAAUAUAGGAGAUUUUUGGGCAGACAGAUAACCUAGCAUAUGGGCGGCCGUACACAAAAUUUCUAGUAUAGGUGCUCAAGAUAUGAUACGUGGCUUCAAUAUUCUGUGAUUUUAAGGGAAUUGGAUCCCAUUCAUAUUCAUUUUGUAGGGAUACUAGGAAUUCUCACAUUUUAGCUGUUAAUCGUAUAUUUGAUUUUUUUUAUUUAAAAUUAAACAUAAAUAGUAUCUGACGAAAAUUGAUUGUACAAUAUACGAUGAACGGAUAAGAUACGGGAAUCCUUAGGAUCCCUACAAAGUGGAUCCAAAGAGAAUCAUUUUCCGAUUUUAAGCACACCAAGAUACAAAUAAGAUAGAUGAAGAUAAUAAAAGUAUAUGAUAAAUUUUUUUAAAUCUCACCCGUUUAUUUUACGUUAUAAAUUUUUUGCAAGAUAUGAAUAUAGGCUAAAAAAGGCAAGCACUGUGAUAAAGACCGGAACCUAGAUUGCCGGUGUUGGUUUUGGCUAUCACAAGUUCACAAAACCAAAACCGGAGUCGCCUUCAAACCCCACAGGAUUUGGUUGGCUUGUUUUACUUUUUUGACCCCCUUCCUACCGACCUAACCCAAUCACGGGGACGGCGGCUGGUUUUGUGAAAUCCCACCACGCUGCCUAAUUACCUUUUUACCCUCUUCAAUUAAUUUAGGCUCUAACUUAAAAGGAAAUAUUAAUCUGUGCAUAUGAAGUAAAACAUAUGCGUGACCAACGUAAAUCUAGAGGCUUUGUAAGGCAUGUAUUUCGAUGGAAGUUUAUUUCUCAGAUUGUAUUCUAAUUUUUUUACUAGUUCUCUUUGGAUGAUCAAUUCAACUUCUGAUAUUCAAAAGCUCAUUUGACCUCAAGGUUGUACGUAUUAUGUAAAAUAUUGAUAUGAAGACUCUAAAGCUUUUAAAGCAAUUUUAUGAAGAAAAAAAAAAGAGUAACGCUUAUGAAAUUCUGUUACAGUAAAAUUAAAUCUAAUUAGAACAACGAGUCACAUAAACAAUCACAAUAUGUAUGUGGUAUUUUAUUUUCUUAAUCAUUUAAGUUAAGAUACGUCAAUCAAAACCAUACCUAACACACAUGGAAAUGUCGUGAGUUAUUAACACCGCUAUUUCUAAAACAAUUUUGAGAAAUGCUAAGUGGACUCUCUCAAAAAUAGGACUCUUCAUAAACUCUCUGUCACCUUAUAUUUUUUGCUUUAUGUUUUAUAACACUGCCACGAGAAUUAAUGUUAAACUAUGUAGCAGAAAGUCCUCGAAAAGUCUCACUCUCGAAAGAGUUCCCUUAACAUUUCUCAACAAUUUCAUUGGAGAUACUCAAUUAAUGGAGAAAACGAACAUUUUAGGAAAAAACAUAUAUAUUUUUUUUUUGUAAAUUGGGAGAAAAUCCACAGUAAUGAAUUCGUAUUAAUAUAAAAUAGGAAAUAAAUGUAGGUCCAACUAAGGGAAGGAGGGCAAAAUGGUAAAACCAAAAAAAGAAAAUUAAUAAUAAUUUAUUUAAGUGGGGAAGAAGCCAAGCAAACAGUGCAACUUUCGAGCCGUACUCGCAUAAAAAUCCUCACCCACCCUUCACUUUCUUCCAUCGUCUCUUCCUCUCUCUCGAUCUCUCAGAAAACAACCAACUCGUCUUCUUCUUCCUCUCUCAAUCUUCAGCAUCAAUCAAACAUGUCUGCUUACAGAGGCAAAUACGCUGGUAAUUUACUCAUCCCCUUCACUCUGUUACUUUUUCAUAUCGAUCUGUAAAUGUAUAAAUAUAUAUAUAUAUAUGUUGUUUUGAUUAAUUUCUUAGAUCUGAUUGUUUUUAUUCGUUUUCAAGCGUUGAUGCAUGAAACCAUGUUUUUUCAGUAUGUUCUGGUUGUUGAGUGAUUGAAUCUUACUUCUGCGUUCGAAAUCCGAAGACCCAGAUUCGUUUUUUCUAUACCGUAUCGAUUUCUUGCAGUUUUCUGGAUUUGGGUUAUCAGAAAAUCAAUCGUUUUUGCUCCUGAAACUUUUUUUGAGUACUUUGAUUACUAAAAUUUAGAUCUAAUCUGACAUGUUUAGUUAAUAUGCCUUCUAGGUUUUACUUUGUGAAGAUGGAAUACCUGUUGACUAUAUUUUACUUCAAAGUUAAAAUCAAAUUUAUGGAUUUAGAGUCCUCAAAUUUGCAAGUGUGCUUAUUGGGGUUUAUGAUUUUUUCAGUCAAUUUUAGGUAUAGGAUUCGAUUGACAAAGUUGUUUGGUACUAAAUUUUGAUCUUUUGAUCUUCAUUGAAACCCUAUGUUUUUAUGUGUGAUUAUCUUACUUAUUCAUAACACUUUACCCUUCAGGGUUCCUCGUUGUAUUUGUUUUGAUCUGAAGUUCUAAUAGUUUUGGAAGCAUGUCACAUGUACUAAUUGAUUUUUCGAUUUCGGUUGUAUUACUUGCUUGACUAUGAGGGGAUUUUGGACUUGUCCGAACUUUUGUUAUCAUUCCAUAUUUUCUUGUUUUUUGUAAUUUAAUGUAGAUGUUUCGAUGUGGGUAUUUAUAUUUUGUGAUUUCUGGUCUAUGUUGGCUGAAUUUUUUAUGCCUUGCAGAUGAGCUUAUCGCCAAUGCUGCCUACAUCGGCACCCCUGGAAAGGGUAUUCUCGCUGCUGAUGAGUCAACUGGCACAAUCGGCAAACGUUUUGCCAGCAUCAAUGUUGAGAAUGUUGAAUCAAACAGGCGUGCUCUUCGUGAACUGCUCUUCACUGCCCCUGAUGUGCUCCAAUACCUUAGUGGAGUUAUCCUCUUUGAGGAAACCCUCUACCAGAAGACCGCUUCAGGUAUUUUGACUAAAGUUUCUAGGUUUUGAUACUUCGUCAUUGCACAACUAUUUGUUCUGUCUUAUUUUGAAUCAAAUAUAUUGUGUAUGCAGUGUUUUUAUUUUGUUCGAACAAUAAAUCCUUUGAAUUUGUAUCGUUUUGUAAAGAUUUUUUUUUCAAGAGAAGUUUGGGUAAAGCAGUAAACAGUACUUGUUAUGUUUGUAAUCCUGUUUUGACAAUCCUCUGGUUGCAUGAAUUGUUACCCUUUUCCGAUUUGUGCUUGGUUUGGAUUGUUCUUUUCCUAAAUAAUAUUGUCAAAUUUUCCAUGGGAUGGUACUCAUUAUUAUGUUGUGCAGGAAAGCCAUUCGUUGAUGUCUUGAAGGAAGGUGGUGUUCUCCCUGGAAUUAAGGUCGACAAGGGUACCGUUGAGCUUGCCGGAACCAAUGGUGAGACCACAACCCAGGGUCUUGAUGGCCUUGCCCAGCGUUGCCAGAAGUACUAUGAAGCUGGUGCACGGUUCGCAAAGUGGCGUGCUGUGCUCAAGAUUGGCCCCAAUGAACCAUCUCAGCUGUCCAUCCAAGAGAAUGCCAACGGGUUGGCUCGUUAUGCCAUCAUCUGCCAGGAGAAUGGCCUAGUGCCCAUCGUUGAGCCAGAGAUCCUGGUCGAUGGACCCCAUUCCAUCGAUAAGUGUGCCGAUGUGACUGAACGUGUUCUUGCCGCAUGCUACAAGGCCCUUAACGACCACCAUGUCCUGCUUGAAGGAACUCUCUUGAAACCCAACAUGGUUACCCCAGGAUCUGAUGCCAAGAAGGUUUCACCAGAAGUGAUUGCUAAGUACACAGUUCGCGCCUUGUUGCGCACUACCCCAGCAGCUGUCCCUGCUGUUGUGUUCUUGUCCGGUGGACAGAGUGAGGAGGAGGCUACCCUCAAC
rnacentral:lncRNA from 1 species